rnacentral:rRNA from 1 species
GAUGAACGCUGGCGGCGUGCCUAAUACAUGCAAGUCGAGCGAAUGGAUUAAGAGCUUGCUCUUAUGAAGUUAGCGGCGGACGGGUGAGUAACACGUGGGUAACCUGCCCAUAAGACUGGGAUAACUCCGGGAAACCGGGGCUAAUACCGGAUAACAUUUUGAACCGCAUGGUUCGAAAUUGAAAGGCGGCUUCGGCUGUCACUUAUGGAUGGACCCGCGUCGCAUUAGCUAGUUGGUGAGGUAACGGCUCACCAAGGCAACGAUGCGUAGCCGACCUGAGAGGGUGAUAGGCCACACUGGGACUGAGACACGGCCCAGACUCCUACGGGAGGAAGCAGUAGGGAAUCUUCCGCAAGGGACGAAAGUCUGACGGAGCAACGCCGCGUGAGUGAUGAAGGCUUUCGGGUCGUAAAACUCUGUUGUUAGGGAAGAACAAGUGCUAGUCGAAUAAGCUGGCACCUUGACGGUACCUAACCAGAAAGCCACGGCUAACUACGUGCCAGCCGCCGCCGUAA